GGCUCAGAACGAACGCUGGCGGCGUGCUUAACACAUGCAAGUCGAACGAUGAUGCCCAGCUUGCUGGGUGGAUUAGUGGCGAACGGGUGAGUAACACGUGAGUAACCUGCCCCUGACUCUGGGAUAAGCGUUGGAAACGACGUCUAAUACUGGAUACGACUGCCGGCCGCAUGGUCUGGUGGUGGAAAGAUUUUUUGGUUGGGGAUGGACUCGCGGCCUAUCAGCUUGUUGGUGAGGUAAUGGCUCACCAAGGCGACGACGGGUAGCCGGCCUGAGAGGGUG
rnacentral:rRNA from 1 species